UCGAAGAAUAUCUAAUGAUAUGAAAAAUGUCCGUACUAUAUCACAUAAAAACCAGUUUCAAAAUGUUAUUAUGCACAGUACGAUCGUAUCUGGAUCGGUGAAUAUGAAUGCAAGUACAACAGAGACUGAAAGAAAGUACGUCAAAUGUUAAUGGGAAUUAUCUCCGGCCCACAGAUGCCUUAAAGACUGUACAAAUUUCCACAUUUUAUGCCAAGAUGCCGGUUAAUUGUACAGACGAGACAACUACAGCAGAGCGCGAGGAAACGCUUCCCAGCGCGGAAAAGUGAAGAUGCUGACCCAAGACUUACUCCGUGUAAAGUUUGCGUAUCCAAAACCUGAAAGCAGCUCACCUACUUUUUUGAUGUCCAUUUAGCCCUGUUCCUUUUCGGGAAAGAGGCCACCUCGGGCUGUGCGUUCUCCGGGGGUCUCUCUUGCCUUUUACGUACGACCUUCUCCUGAACCCUGUAUGGCCCUUACUGUGUACAAGGGAAAACAAGGCAGUUUGCAGAGCUCCGGAAACCACGAGAGGCAAGUGUGGUAGCUGGGCCUGGCUUCGCCCUCUCCGGCAAGGCUACAGAUGCCUCCAGAUUCCAGCGGGCCACGUCAAGGGAAUCAUCUGGAGUAUUCGAAAUUGAUUUGAAUAUUCAAUACAGAUCACCGCAGCAGAACUCAUGGAUGAGAAAUAAUGUGAAUCCAUUGCCAUUGAUUAGCUAAUUUAUGUUCUACAACUAAUCGAAGCACAAAUCUCAUUAGCCACAGGUCAGUAAGGCUUGGAGAGAAAAAGACAAUCAUUUUGGUAGCCUAGUUGGCUGUAAAGACACAAUUAGAAGCCCACCGGCUUUCCAGGCUUUCCUGCCCCUCCUCCCAGAUCUCAAGCCGAUCGUGAAGGGAAAGAAAGGUAGGGCUUCCCCGUGGUUUGGCCAGUCACUGCAAAAGAGAUCUCCAUAUGCCAC